UAAAGCGGUGACAGCACGAAUGCACCAGUUCCCAAUUAUUCACUGAAGUUAAGCAACGUUGCACGUCGUUGGUAUCCGGAUGGGUGACCAUCUGGCAAAUCGCGUGAUGCUGGUU
rfam:Asian citrus Psyllid, Diaphorina citri - Florida Strain, whole genome shotgun sequence.